rnacentral:snRNA from 1 species
GUGCUCACUUUGGCAGCACAUAUACUAAAAUUGGAACGAUACACAGAAAAGUAGCAUGGCUGCUUGCAAGGUGACGUGCAAAUUCAUGAAGCGUUCCAAGUUUUU